GUACUUGUAAUUGAGCCAACAGUUUUGUACAAUCUAAAAUCUAUGCUUAAAAAAAAAAAAAAAGGAUCUAUUAAAACAAAAUGCAUGACUUCAAUUUUGUUUAAUUACAUAAUAUACAUAAAGAAUGGAGAGAAAUCAUGAAGAGUUUACACAUUUUCAUCACAAUGGUUAUAAAAACAAAACAAAGAAAACUUAGGAGUGGACUCCCUUAUCAAAUGUUAUAUUUCCAUAUCUAAAUCUGUAUACUGAAACCUAAGGAUCGUUAAACAUCUUAAUAAUCACUUUUCUAUCACUACAAAAAUAGAGAAGAAAAAUAAGAACUACUUUAGAAGUGAAUCAAAGUGUUAGUGAGAAAAUAGAGAGCAUUCAACAGUCUCACAGACCUGAGUAACUCAGGGGAAACAAUUAGAAUUUAUCCAGCAUGCCAUUUUAAUAUGGUAUAAUUGAGCUGCUGCCAACUCUUAUUCUGACCAAAUAUCCAAAGGAUUGUAUCAUCACUGAGUCACCAUGCCUUAUACCCUAGUCCUGACUGUAAGACGAAUUGAACAAUAUUCUAAAACAUUGACAUAUUAUUGGACAUUAGUCUUGUAGCCAG